AGUGAACGCUGGCGGUAGGCCUAACACAUGCAAGUCGAACGGCAGCACAGUAAGAGCUUGCUCUUACGGGUGGCGAGUGGCGGACGGGUGAGGAAUACAUCGGAAUCUACUUUUUCGUGGGGGAUAACGUAGGGAAACUUACGCUAAUACCGCAUACGACCUACGGGUGAAAGCAGGGGAUCUUCGGACCUUGCGCGAUUGAAUGAGCCGAUGUCGGAUUAGCUAGUUGGCGGGGUAAAGGCCCACCAAGGCGACGAUCCGUAGCUGGUCUGAGAGGAUGAUCAGCCACACUGGAACUGGGACACGGUCCCGACUCCUACGGGAGGCAGCAGUGGGGAAUAUUGGACAAUGGGCGCAAGCCUUAUCCAGCCAUACCGCGUGGGUGAAGAAGGCCUUCGGGUUGUAAAGCCCUUUUGUUGGGAAAGAAAAGCAGCAGGUUAAUACCCCGCUGUUCUGACGGUACCCAAAGAAUAAGCACCGGCUAACUUCGUG
rnacentral:rRNA from 1 species